rnacentral:tmRNA from 1 species
GGGGCCGAUUUGGAUUCGACGCCGGUAACAAAACCAAAGGGGCAUGCCGAGCAGGUGACAGUUCUCGUAAAUUCGCUGUUACACACUUAUAGUUGCCAACGACGACAACUACGCUCUGGCUGCUUAAUGCGCCAGCAGAGACCAGGGGAUGCCUGUAAACCCAAAAUCUCUGUCAGAUAGAACAGGAUCGCCGCGCGGGUUCGCUGUAGACCCAAACGUCUAAAACCUCAUACAGCUCGCUCCAAGCACCCUGCCACUCGGGCGGCGCGGAGUUAACUCAAUUGAGCUGGCUAAGCAUGUAGAACCGAUGGCAGAGUCCUGGCGGACGGGGGUUCAAAUCCCCCCGGCUCCACCA